rnacentral:rRNA from 1 species
UACGUAGGGGGCAAGCGUUGUCCGGAAUUAUUGGGCGUAAAGCGCGCGCAGGCGGCCGUUUAAGUCUGGUGUUUAAGCCCGGGGCUCAACCCCGGUUCGCACUGGAAACUGGGCGGCUUGAGUGCAGGAGAGGAAAGCGGAAUUCUACGUGUAGCGGUGAAAUGCGUAGAUAUGUGGAGGAACACCAGUGGCGAAGGCGGCUUUCUGGCCUGUAACUGACGCUGAGGCGCGAAAGCGUGGGGAGCAAACAGG